rnacentral:rRNA from 1 species
ACAACCAGGAGGUUGGCUUAGAAGCAGCCAUCCUUGAAAGAGUGCGUAAUAGCUCACUGGUCAAGUGAUUCUGCGCCGAUAAUGUAGCGGGGCUGAAGUGCGCCGCCGAAGCCGUGGGGCCGGCACGUUGGUGUCGGUUGGUAGGGGAGCGUCGUGCGUUCGGUGAAGCCGCCGGGUGACCGUGUGGUGGAGGGCGUGCGAGUGAGAAUGCAGGCAUGAGUAGCGAUACCGGAGUGGGAAACUCCGGCGCCGAUUGACUAAGGGUUCCUGGGGCAGGUUGAUCCGCCCAGGGUGAGUCUGGACCUAAGGCGAGGCCGACAGGCGUAGUCGAUGGAUGACGGGUUGAUAUUCCCGUACCCGUGCGCGUGCGCCCGUGUCGAUAGCCCUGAUGCUGACCAUGCAUGCCCGUCUUCGUGCCUUCGGGUGCGGGGGUGGUGGUGUGCCUGGGACCCGAGGGGUGUGUAGGCAAGUGAUGGGGUGACGCAGUGGGGUAGCUCUACCCGGCGGUGGUUGUCCGGGGGUAAGCGUGUAGCCCGGGGUGGUGGUAAAUCCCUGCCCUGUUACAGGGGUGAGGCGUGAUGCCGAGCCGUUUCGGCGAAGUGAGUGAUCCCGUGCUGUCGAGAAAAGCCUCUAGCGAGUGCGUGUGCGGCCAGUACCCGAAACCGACGCAGGUGGUCAGGUAGAGUAUACCGAGGCGUUCGGGUGAUCCGUGGUUAAGGAACUCGGCAAAUUGUCCCCGUAACUUUGGGAGAAGGGGAGCCCUGUCCGGUGAUCAGGUUUUCCCUGUGAGCGGGGCGGGGUCGCAGAUACCAGGGGAAAGCGACUGUUUAUUAAAAACACAGGUCCGUGCGAAGUCGUAAGACGCUGUAUACGGACUGACGCCUGCCCGGUGCUGGAACGUUAAGAGGACCGGUUAGCGCUUGUGCGUGAGGCUGGGAAUCUAAGCGCCAGUAAACGGCGGUGGUAACUAUAACCAUCCUAAGGUAGCGAAAUUCCUUGUCGGGUAAGUUCCGACCUGCACGAAUGGCGUAACGACUUCCCCACUGUCUCAACCAUGGGCCCGGUGAAAUUGCACUACGAGUAAAGAUGCUCGUUUCGCGCAGCAGGACGGAAAGACCCCGGGACCUUCACUAUAGCUUGACAUUGGUGUUUGGGAUGGUUUGUGUAGGAUAGGUGGGAGCCGGUGAAGCCGCCACGCCAGUGGUGGUGGAGGCGUUGGUGAAAUACCACUCUGGCUGUUUCGGGCAUCUAACCUCGGGCCGUGAUCCGGUCUGGGGACAGUGUCUGGUGGGUAGUUUAACUGGGGCGGUUGCCUCCUAAAGGGUAACGGAGGCGCCCAAAGGUUCCCUCGGCCUGGUUGGCAAUCAGGUGGUGAGUGUAAGUGCACAAGGGAGCUUGACUGUGAGA